rnacentral:tRNA from 13 species
CCGUCGAUAGCUCAGUUGGCAGAGCGGUGGACUGUAGGGGUUGAAUUGCAGACAUCCAUAGGUCGCUGGUUCGACUCCGGCUCGACGGA